rnacentral:rRNA from 1 species
UGGGGAAUAUUGGACAAUGGGCGAAAGCCUGAUCCAGCCAUGCCGCGUGAGUGACGAAGGCCUUAGGGUUGUAAAACUCUUUCGUCGGGGACGAUAAUGACGGUACCCGAAGAAGAAGCUCCGGCUAACUUCGUGCCAGCAGCCGCGGUAAUACGAAGGGAGCUAGCGUUGUUCGGAAUCACUGGGCGUAAAGCGCACGUAGGCGGAUUUGUCAGUCAGGGGUGAAAUCCCGGGGCUCAACCUCGGAACUGCCCUUGAUACAGCAAGUCUUGAGUUCGAGAGAGGUGGGUGGAAUUCCUAGUGUAGAGGUGAAAUUCGUAGAUAUUAGGAAGAACACCGGUGGCGAAGGCGGCCCACUGGCUCGAUACUGACGCUGAGGUGCGAAAGCGUGGGGAGCAAACAGGAUUAGAUACCCCCGUAGUCCCUGAGCGGGCUGGCAAGGCGCAU